rnacentral:lncRNA from 1 species
AUCUAAAUAAGGUGUCUGUUUUUUCUUUGUAAUACUUCACCUCUUUGGGAAAAUAGUUCCCAAGACUGUCCUGAUCAUCUAUUUUCAGACGGGUGGACCGGAAACCCAGUGACAAUACUCGGGUCUGCAGCUGCCAUUUUCCGUUGGGAAAGAGAAAUGGACCUGUAUUUUCCAGAAAAGGUAGCUCAUCCAUCAUGGCAGAAGAGGAAGAACCAGACUCAUCCAACAUGUCCAACAGGAGUGCAUCCCUCAGACCAUCCGGUGCAUGGACAUCCUGUGCGGGUGUGAUCCGGUUGUGGAGACUACAGCACAUCGAGCAUGUGGGCGAACAGAAAUGAGGCGUGACAUGCAGAACAUCAGGCUCACCCCACGAGAAGCAGUGCAUGAUCAUCGCC